UGUAGUAACCUGCCCUUGACUUUGGGAUAACUUCAGGAAACUGGGGCUAAUACCGGAUAGGAGCUCCUGCUGCAUGGUGGGGGUUGGAAAGUUUCGGCGGUUGGGGAUGGACUCGCGGCUUAUCAGCUUGUUGGUGGGGUAGUGGCUUACCAAGGCUUUGACGGGUAGCCGGCCUGAGAGGGUGACCGGCCACAUUGGGACUGAGAUACGGCCCAG
rnacentral:rRNA from 1 species